rnacentral:misc_RNA from 1 species
UGGGCUCGACAUGCGCCAGACGACUGCAGAGAUGUGGUUUCCCUUGUGGUUGGUGUGCAGGUGGUGCAUGGCUGUCGUCAGCUCGUGUCGUGAGAUGUUGGGUUAAGUCCCGCAACGAGCGCAACCCUUGUCCUAUGUUGCCAGCACGUAAUGGUGGGGACUCAUAGGAGACUGCCGGGGACAACUCGGAGGAAGGUGGGGAUGACGUCAAGGUACGGAC